rnacentral:rRNA from 1 species
UGUAUUUAUUAGAUAAAAAACCAAUGCCGUUCGGGGCUUUUUGGUGAUUCAUGAUAACUUUACGGAUCGCAUAGCCUUGCGCUGGCGACGGUUCAUUCAAAUUUCUGCCCUAUCAACUUUCGAUGGUAAGGUAUUGGCUUACCAUGGUUUCAACGGGUAACGGGGAAUUAGGGUUCGAUUCCGGAGAGGGAGCCUGAGAAACGGCUACCACAUCCAAGGAAGGCAGCAGGCGCGCAAAUUACCCAAUCCCGACACGGGGAGGUAGUGACAAUAAAUACUGAUACAGGGCUCUUUUGGGUCUUGUAAUUGGAAUGAGUACAAUUUAAACCUCUUAACGAGGAACAAUUGGAGGGCAAGUCUGGUGCCAGCAGCCGCGGUAAUUCCAGCUCCAAUAGCGUAUAUUAAAGUUGUUGCAGUUAAAAAGCUCGUAGUUGAAACUUGGGCCUGGCUGGCGGGUCCGCCUCACCGCGUGCACUCGUCCGGCCGGGCCUUCCUUCUGAAGAACCUCAUGCCCUUCACUGGGCGUGCUGGGGAACCAGG